rnacentral:tRNA from 1 species
AUCUGGCUGGCUCAGCCAGUAGAGCAUGUGACUCUUGAUCUCAGGGUUGUGAGUUUGAGCCCCAUGUUGGGUA